rnacentral:rRNA from 1 species
CCCUUAGAUGUUCUGGGCCGCACGCGCGCUACACUGACGAAUGCAACGAGCUUAUAACCUUGGCCGAAAGGUCUGGGUAAUCUCCAAAUUUCGUCGUGAUGGGGAUAGAUUAUUGCAAUUAUUAAUCUUCAACGAGGAAUUCCUAGUAAACGCAAGUCAUCAGCUUGCAUUGAUUACGUCCCUGCCCUUUGUACACACCGCCCGUCGCACCUACCGAUUGAAUGGUCCGGUGAAAUCUCGGGACGGCGGCUCGGUCGCUUGCGUCCGACUGCUGAAACUUGAUUAAACCAUAUCAUUUAGAGGAAGGUGAANUCGUANCA